GAUGAAGAACGUAGCGAAAUGCGAUACGUAAUGUGAAUUGCAGAAUUCAGUGAAUCAUCGAAUCUUUGAACGCAUAUUGCGCUCUCUGGUAUUCCGGAGAGCAUGCUUGUUUGAGUAUCAGUAAACACCUCAACUUCCAUAUCUUUUUUUGAAAUGGGAGUUGGACUUGAGUGAUCCCAACGCUUUUCCUCACCGAAAAGUGGCGGGUUACUUGAAAUGCAGGUGCAGCUGGACUUUUCUCUGAGCUAUAAGCAUAUCUAUUUAGUCUGCCUAAAAAACAGAUUAUUACCUUUGCUGCAGCUAACAUAAAGGAGAUUAGUUCUUGUGCUGACUGAUGCAGGAUUCACAAAGACAGCUUCGGCCGACUUUGUAAACUCGAUCUCAAAUCAAGUAAGACUACCCGCUGAACUUAAGCAUGUCAAUAAGCGGAGGA
rnacentral:misc_RNA from 1 species